UCCGCUAUGGUGAAGUGGCAUCACUCGAGACUUUGAAUCUCGCAUCCUGGGUUCAAUCCCCAGUGGCGGAA